rnacentral:lncRNA from 1 species
GGAAACCAUCUGGCAAGAACUGCUCAAGAGAAUGCUUCUUGGCUCUCACAUCUUAAAGGUCUUAAAAUAGCUAACAUUUAUUGAACAUUUUACUAUAUGCCAGUCAGUAAAUUGCAGAUGUAAGAUUCAAAACGAGACUUCACAUCUACCGACUUCAGUGAUCCUGAAAUUUGUCCACAGAGAGCAUUUAACAUAACUGUCUUCAUCAUCUCCUUCUCUAAUUAAAAACUAUGGAGGCCUUACAAACUGGUAGAAGAUGCAUAAUAGAAGAGCUUAUGAAGUUAAAGAUGACAGCAUAGCAACACUGUUCACAAAGACAUUAUUGGUGAUUCAAUCUUGAGUCAUGAAAAGCCAACCUUGAGCCACAAAAAGUCAACCUUGAGCCAAGCAGAGUGGAGAGUCAUACUGGCCAUUCCUGGGACCAUCAAAAAUGGCAGAGGUCACACAAAAGGCAAAACCUUUAAGAGGUGUUUUAAACAUCGUAUGGGCCAAAGAGAAUCUGGAUUUCCUAUUGCAGUCAGCUGUAACACACGUGUGACAAAUUGGGCUGUGAGGACAAGGCAGUGAGUAGAGACGACAGCAGUCCUUAUGAGAUCAAGCUCUAAGGUAUCCUAGAUACAUUUGGAGAAUUCACCUGAGCUACAGGAUGUGGUAAGAUUUGGUGAGCAGGUGGUGAUUCUUACAGAAUCCCUCACACAUUCAUGCACAGAACUUCCCCAGCACACUCCCAGGUAGGACCACUUCCCUCUUCAUUGUGCAAAGAUUCACCACUGGUUCCAG